rnacentral:SRP_RNA from 1 species
UGCGGGCUUCGGAGGGCGACGUAGCCGAUGCUGCCAUGAAGCCCUGGGGUGUCGCACCAGGGUGGGUAACAAAAUGCGAUGUAAGAGGGAAUGCUACUUUGGCGCAUUCAGAUGAGUCACAGCGGGAGAAGGCGGAAAUGGAGCAGGCCGAAACCUA